rnacentral:rRNA from 1 species
UACGGGGGGGGCAAGCGUUGUUCGGAAUUACUGGGCGUAAAGGGCUCGUAGGCGGCCAACUAAGUCGGAUGUGAAAUCCCCAGGCUUAACCUGGGAACUGCAUCCGAUACUGGAUGGCUUGAAUCCGGGAGAGGGAUGCAGAAUUCCAGGUGUGGCGGUGAAAUGCGUAGAUAUCUGGAGGAAUACCGGUGGCGAAGGCGGCAUCCUGGACCGGCAUUGACGCUGAUGAGCGAAAGCUAGGGGAGCAAACGGG